rnacentral:rRNA from 1 species
CCUUAGUAAUGGCGAAUGAACAGGGAAAAGCCCAGCACCGAAGCCUGUGGUCGUUUGGUCACUAGGCAAUGUGGUGUUCAGGUCGUUCCGCAGAGGUACUGCUCCAUCCUAAGUCCAGCAAUGAGUACGGCAUUAUGGACGUGGCCCAUAGAGGGUGAAAGGCCCGUGGGGGUGGAGAUUCGUCAGGCCAGUAUCUCUCUGGGUAGACCUUGGAGUCGGGUUGUUUGUGAAUGCAGCCCAAAGUGGGUGGUAAACUCCAUCCAAGGCUAAAUACUAGCACGAGUCCGAUAGCGAACAAGUACCGUGAGGGAAAGUUGAAAAGUACUUUGAAGAGAGAGUAAACAGUGCGUGAAACCGCUCAGAGGUAAACGGGUGGAGUUGAACUGCAAGCUUUGCGGAUUCAGCUGGUGAGAAUGGUUUGAGCUUGGUCAAAUUGAUUGAGCUACGGGGUCUGCGUAUGUGCAGGUCUCUGUCUUUGGCAGGGAUGCGCGAUACACCUAACAAGUGUUGUGCGCCUCGGAGUUUCAGAUCAACUCGCCAGUGCACUUCCGUAGAGUGUUCACCACGACCGGCAUGAUUGUCUGGCUGUUGUUGUUAAACCGGCUUUGCAUAGUCCUUGUGGCUUUGCCUGGUCGGGACGGCAGGUAGCUCGUUGGUAAUUCGUAGCUUGCUACGGUUGCUUUCGGGUGUAAUCAGCUGACUGCAACGGUUCUGUGCGAUUUGUCGGAGACGGCGGCUUGUGGUGUGUGCGUGCGUGCCGGCUUUAUGGGCGGAUCCGUUUCUGAUUGUCAUGUUGCCUGCGUAAAGCAGGCCUGGCAGUGUCUCGGGUUUGUUCUGUGAACGGUUGCGUACGUGUCACUUUUCAGGGCCAAUAGUCUGUGGUGUAGUGGUAGACGAUCCACCUGACCCGUCUUGAAACACGGACCAAGGAGAGUAACAUGUGCGCGAGUCAUUGGGCGUAACGAAACCCAUAGGCGCAGUGAAAGUAAAGGCUUGGCUUGUCCUUGCUGAGGUGAGAUCCUGUCGUUUCUCAUGCGCGGUACUACCAAGCAACGAGCGGCAGGCGCAUCACCGGCCCGUCCCAUGACGUAGACACAUAGUCCUCGUGACCAGUGCAUCGUCGGGGCGGAGCAUGAGCGUACAUGUUGAGACCCGAAAGAUGGUGAACUAUGCUUGCGCAGGUUGAAGCCAGAGGAAACUCUGGUGGAGGACCGCAGCGAU